rnacentral:rRNA from 1 species
GAUGAACGCUGGCGGCGUGCCUAAUACAUGCAAGUCGAGCGAACAGACGAUGAGCUUGCUCCUCUGAUGUUAGCGGCUGCCGGGUGUGUAACACGUGGAUCACCUACUUCUUUGUCUUGGAUAAUUUCGGGCAACCGGUUCUAAUACCGGCUAACAUGUUGAACCGCAUGGUUCAACAGUUAAUCACGCUCUUGCUGUCUCUUAUAGAUGGAUCCGCGCCGCAUUAGCUAGUUGGUAAGGUAACGGCUUACCAAGGCAACGAUGCUUAGCCGACCUGAGAGGGUGAUCGGCCACACUGGAACUGAGACACGGUACAGACGCCUACGGGAGGCAGCAGUAGGGAAUGUUCGGCAAUGGGCGAAAGCCUGACGGAGCAAAGCCGCGUGAGUGAAGAAGGGCUACGGAUCGUAAAGCGCUGUUAUUAGGAAAGAAAAAAAGUAUAAGAAAAUAGGGACGUAUUGACGGUACCGAAACAGAAAGCCACGGCUAACUACGUG